CAUUGCUUAAGAUGGAAGUCCAUCGAAGGGCUGGGGAGACAGAUGAGAUAUUUGUUCAAAGUUGAACUGAGAAAGAGAUUGAGACAGACAGUGAGAUAUAUAGCUGCUUCUUCUGCUGCUUCUUUGGAAUAUGUAUGGCGGUGCUGUGUGGGGGGAUGUGUGAGUUCGGAAGUCAUCCAGUUGAUAGAAGCGAAGGGCACUCGAAUAAAGAUAUUAAGACAUAAGACAUGACAGUUGAAGACUUUUAAUACAAAAAUGUAAAAAUGGUGUGUGGUACGUUUUUUUUUUUUUCGAAAAAUAUUUAAAUCAUUAAAGUUUUGUAUGAAUAGUGUUUUUGAGAAAGUUUGUGAUUUUGGUUGGAUUGAAAAACGAAAAAAUUAAUGUCUUUCUAAUAAAAAUUAGUUGUAAGAUCCAUGUAUUACAUGGGUUAAUUUAAAAGAAAAUAUAAAAAUCAAAAUAUUUGAAAACUUUGAUUUUAUAAGGUAACUAGGUAAACGGGUUGAUUAUAAAAAAUAUUUAAUCUAGAUACAUAGGUUGAUUAUGAAAAAAUAUUUAAUCUAGGUAAUAACAUGUGGAUCAUACGGAUUGAAUAUAAAAAAUAUUUAAUUGGAAUAAGUGAAAAAUAAAGCACAAUUCAAGUAUAACUCUACUAUUCAUUGAUAUGGGGAAACAAAUUUUUUUAAGUUUAAGAUCCAAAAUAUAAUCAAAAGCUUUCUAGGGACGUAAACUUGAUGGUUUACUCUCAAGAUAUUUUGAUAAUUGGUCAAGAGAAACCACUUUGAUGGUUUCAUCUUCUUCAACAAUACGAUUCAUCAAAAUUACCAGGUUGAUUAAUAGAAAUAUAAAAUAAAGACUAAACAUUAAGGAUUUUUAAAAUGAUAUUUUCCAGAUUGUUCAGUUGCAACUUUGGUUGAACUUGCAUUUGGGUUAUAUGUACAUUGUUCGUGGUACCUAUUUUUGUCAACCUCACCAAAAUCCAGAAGAUUCCCGAAAUAAUUCAAGAAAAUGUAAGAUGAAAAAAUAUUAAAAAACAGUAUUAGUCAAAAUAAUGUACAAAAUAAAGUUUGCUGAAAACAUUGUUUCAGGGAAAAAUAAAGUUUCAACAUCUAAGUCAGAUCGUGGAAUUUGACUUUGACCGUUUUCGAACAUGGGGCUGUCCGAAGAUAGGUUUUGUUCUACCAUAAAAACUGACUGCAGCUUCUUUUGUGCUUUUGAGUAAUUUAAAGAUAACCUCACAUUUUGUUCGGGUGCACCUUUUUUGGAUUCUUAAUCACCUGAAGGUAAUUUGUAUGGUUUUGUAGCUAUGUAUUUUUCAAAGAAUUGUGUGUACCGUGAUUCUGGACAUCUUUGUGACAUGUCAUCUUCACAUGUGUUAUAUCUCGAUCUAGUACCAAAA